UUUUUUGUCAAUUUUUAGCCACGCAUAUCAUAGUGUUUUCACACACAAGCUAGUAUUUUUUUCACUUUUCUGAAAAAAAAAGCUAAAUUAUAUUUUCCCUUACUAAGCCUUUUAUAAUUUGUUCCCUUCAUCGCUCCACCAAAUGAAUUCAGAAUAUAGGAUUUCUUUAUACACACAGCUCUCCAAUUUCCUAACCUGGGAGGCUGCGGACCCGAU
ensembl:ncRNA R07B1.22 ncRNA